rnacentral:rRNA from 1 species
GAUGAACGCUGGCGGCGUGCCUAAUACAUGCAAGUCGAGCGAACAGACGAGGAGCUUGCUCCUCUGACGUUAGCGGCGGACGGUUGAGUAACACGUGGAUAACCUACCUAUAAGACUGGGAUAACUUCGGGAAACCGGAGCUAAUACCGGAUAAUAUAUUGAACCGCAUGGUUCAAUAGUGAAAGACGGUUUUGCUGUCACUUAUAGAUGGAUCCUCGCCGCAUUAGCUAGUUGUUAAGGUAACGGCUUACCAAGGCGACGAUGCGUAGCCGACCUGAGAGGGUGAUCGGCCACACUGGAACUGAGACACGGUCCAGACUCCUACGGGAGGCAGCAGUAGGGAAUCUUCGGCAAUGGGCGAAAGCCUGACGGAGCAACGCCGCGUGAGUGAUGAAGGUCUUCGGAUCGUAAAACUCUGUUAUUAGGGAAGAACAAAUGUGUAAGUAACUAUGCACGUCUUGACGGUACCUAAUCAGAAAGCCACGGCUAACUACGUG